GGAGACUGAGCCUGGGUCUUUUCCAGUGUCUGGUGUGUGAACGGUGACCAAACUGGUCUGCGUCACGGAAAGCUAGUCUUCUUUAACGGGUUUCAAAGGCUACGUCUUGGUCUUACAGACAAACAUUCUCAUGAUGCACACAGAAGAAGAGUCUGGAGAUGGAGAGAUGUUAGUGGUGGCGGGAGGAAGUUCUCAGUGUAAAAACCCUGGAGGAGCACUCCCAGGGCAACAUGGCUGCGGUGUCAUCAAUGAGCCUCAACUUGAGAGGUCUUCCUCCUCCUUCUCUGGUUCCGGCCAUGCCUUCCGGAUGCCUCCUGCCCCCCUGCCUGGAACUCCGUCUUCGUCCCCCAGCCCCUGGACCCUCUCACCCUCC